rnacentral:rRNA from 1 species
UUAUUGCACCACAUGUGUUUUUUAUUGAACAAAUUUCUUUGGUGGCGGGAGCAAUCCUACCGCCAGAGGUUAUAACUAAACCAAACUUUUUAUUUACAGUCAAACUUGAUUUAUUAUUACAAUAGUCAAAACUUUCAACAACGGAUCUCUUGGUUCUCGCAUCGAUGAAGAACGCAGCGAAAUGCGAUACGUAAUAUGAAUUGCAGAUAUUCGUGAAUCAUCGAAUCUUUGAACGCACAUUGCGCCCUUUGGUAUUCCAAAGGGCAUGCCUGUUUGAGCGUCAUUUCUCCCUCAAACCCCCGGGUUUGGUGUUGAGCAAUACGCUAGGUUUGUUUGAAAGAAUUUAACGUGGAAACUUAUUUUAAGCGACUUAGGUUUAUCCAAAAACGCUUAUUUUGCUAGUGGCCACCACAAUUUAUUUCAUAACUUUGACCUCAAAUCAGGUAGGACUACCCGCUGAACUUAACCAUAUCAUAAGCC